UUACCAUGCAAGUCGCACGAACCUUUCGGGGUUAGUGGCGGACGGGUGUAGUAACGCGUAGGAACCUAUCUGGAGGUGGGGGAUAACAUCGGGAAACUGGUGCUAAUACCGCAUGAUGCCUGAGGGCCAAAGGAGAGAUCCGCCAUUGGAGGGGCCUGCGUUCGAUUAGCUAGUUGGUUGGGUAAAGGCUGACCAAGGCGAUGAUCGAUAGCUGGUUUGAGAGGAUGAUCAGCCACACUGGGACUGAGACACGGCCCAGACUCCUACGGG
rnacentral:rRNA from 2 species